rnacentral:rRNA from 1 species
AGAGUUUGAUCCUGGCUCAGGAUGAAUGCUGGCGGCGUGCCUAACACAUGCAAGUCGAACGGAGCUGCUUUGAUGAAGUUUUCGGAUGGAUUUAAAACAGCUUAGUGGCGGACGGGUGAGUAACGCGUGGGUAACCUGCCUCACACUGGGGGAUAACAGUUAGAAAUAGCUGCUAAUACCGCAUAAGCGCACGGUUCCGCAUGGAACAGUGUGAAAAACUCCGGUGGUGUGAGAUGGACCCGCGUCUGAUUAGCCAGUUGGCGGGGUAACGGCCCACCAAGGCGACGAUCAGUAGCCGGCCUGAGAGGGUGAACGGCCACAUUGGGACUGAGACACGGCCCAAACUCCUACGGGAGGCAGCAGUGGGGAAUAUUGCACAAUGGGGGAAACCCUGAUGCAGCGACGCCGCGUGAGUGAAGAAGUAUUUCGGUAUGUAAAGCUCUAUCAGCAGGGAAGAAAGUGACGGUACCUGAAUAAGAAGCCCCGGCUAACUACGUGCCAGCAGCCGCGGUAAUACGUAGGGGGCAAGCGUUAUCCGGAUUUACUGGGUGUAAAGGGAGCGUAGACGGCAAGGCAAGUCUGAAGUGAAAGCCCGGUGCUUAACGCCGGGACUGCUUUGGAAACUGUUUAGCUGGAGUGCCGGAGAGGUAAGCGGAAUUCCUAGUGUAGCGGUGAAAUGCGUAGAUAUUAGGAAGAACACCAGUGGCGAAGGCGGCUUACUGGACGGUAACUGACGUUGAGGCUCGAAAGCGUGGGGAGCAAACAGGAUUAGAUACCCUGGUAGUCCACGCCGUAAACGAUGA